rnacentral:rRNA from 1 species
UACAGGGGGUGCAAACGUUGCUCGGAAUCAUUGGGCGUAAAGCGCACGUAGGCGGUCUGUUAUGUCGGAUGUGAAAGCCCUUGGCUCAACUGAGGAAGUGCAUCCGAAACUGGCAGGCUAGAGUACGAAAGAGGAUCGCGGAAUUCCCGGUGUAGAGGUGAAAUUCGUAGAUAUCAGGAGGAACACCAGUGGCGAAGGCGGCUCACUGGUCCAUUACUGACGCUGAGGUGCGAAAGCGUGGGGAGCAAACAGG